GAGCACCUGGACAGGUGAGGGACAGCUCAGGUGAGGGACAGGUGAGGGGACAGCUCAGGUGAGCACCUGGACAGGUGAGGGACAGGUGAGACAGAUGGGGACAGGUGAGCACCUGGACAGGUGAAGGGCAGGUGAGGGGCAGGUGAGACAGGUGGGCUCAGGUGAGCAUCUGGACAGGUGAGGGCAGGUGAGAGACAGGUGAGACAGGUGAGACAGGUGGGGACAGGUGAGCACCAGGACAGGUGAGGAAAGGUGGGGAUCAGGUGAGGAACAGGUGAGGGACAGGUGAGAAUGGGGGACAGGUGAGCUCAGGUGAGCACAGGUGGGACAGGUGAGAACAAGGGGGACAGGUGAAGGACAGGUGGGACAGGUGAGCACAGGUGAACAAUGGGGGAUAGGUGGGACAGGUGAGGGGACAGCUCAGGUGGGCUCAGGUGAGCACCUGGACAGGUGGGGGCAGGUGGGGACAGGUGGGGACAGGUGAGGACAGGUGAGCACCAG